CAGUAGCCGCGGGAAUACGUAGGGUGCGAGCGUUAAUCGGAAUUACUGGGCGUAAAGCGUGCGCAGGCGGUUUUGUAAGACAGGCGUGAAAUCCCCGGGCUCAACCUGGGAAUGGCGCUUGUGACUGCAAAGCUAGAGUGCGGCAGAGGGGGAUGGAAUUCCGCGUGUAGCAGUGAAAUGCGUAGAUAUGCGGAGGAACACCGAUGGCGAAGGCAAUCCCCUGGGCCUGCACUGACGCUCAUGCACGAGAGCGUGGGGAGCAAACAGGAUUAGAUACCCCCGUAGUCCCUGUCUCUUAUAC
rnacentral:rRNA from 1 species